rnacentral:lncRNA from 1 species
UAAUGCACAAGUUUCACGUCAAGGUUUUCCUGAGCUUCUCUAAUUGCAUGAUACCUUAUCUUGAUAUGUUUUGUCCUUCCUUGAAACACCGGAUUUUUAAUCAUAGCAACAACAGAUUGAUUGUCAUAAUGAAUCAUAGUUGCAUCAAUUUGCUAAUGGUUUAGAUCCUCCAAGACUUUUCUUAACCAGAUUGCCUGGUUUGUAGCCUCAAAUGCAGCCACAUACUCUGCUUCAGUUGUUGAUUGAGCCACGAUUUUCUGCUUCAUUGAAUUCCAACAGACAGGACUAGAUCCUAGAUAGAAUACAUACCCUGAUGUGCUCUUCAUAUCAUCACAUGAUCCGGCCCAAUCACUGAUAGUGUAGCCUAUUAGAGCACAAUUUUCAGACGUCUUAAACCAAAUUCCAAGCUUUGUAUUUCCUUUGAUAUACCUUAGAACUCUCUUUACUGCCCAAAAAUGAAGAUCAGUUGGCUCUUGUUUAAAUCUGGAAAGUAUGUUGGUAGCAAAUUU